AUUCAGCAGAACAUAUGCUAAAAUUGGAAUGAAACAGAGAAGAUUAUCAUGGCCCCUGCACAAGGAUGACACACAAAUUCGUGAACCAGUCCAUGUUUUU
rnacentral:snRNA from 1 species